GACGAACGCUGGCGGCGUGCUUAACACAUGCAAGUCGAACGGAAAGGCCCUGCUUUUGUGGCUUGCUCGAUUGGCGAACGGGUGAGUAACACGUGAGUAACCUGCCCUUGACUUUGGGAUAACUUCAGGAAACUGGGGCGAAUAUCGGAUAGGAUCUCCUGCUGCAUGGUGUGGGUUGGUAAGUUUCGGCGGUUGUGGAUGGACUCGCGGCUUAUCAGCUUGUUGGUGGGGUAGUGGCUUACCAGGGCUUUGACGGGUAGCCGGCAUGAGAGGGUGACCGGCCACAUGGGGACUGAGAUACGGCCCAGACUCCUACGGGAGGCAGCAGUGGGGAAUAUUGCACAAUGGGCGGAAGCCUGAUGCAGCAACGCCGCGUGCGGGAUGACGGCCUUCGGGUUGUAAACCGCUUUCGCCUGUGACGAAGCGUGAGUGACGGUAAUGGGUAAAGAAGCACCGGCUAACUACGUG
rnacentral:rRNA from 1 species